AAUUAACAUUACCGCAGGUAAAGCACUGAAUGAGCUAGGGGGCGAAAGCUUACUGAACUCUAUCAAACUCAGAAUGGCGGAUAAUGAAUGAUUGGGAGUCACACUACGUGAGAUAAGUUUCGUGGUGGAAAGGGAAACAGCCCAGACCCACAGCUAAGGUCCCAAAGUACAGUUAAGUGGAAAAGGAUGUGAAAUUGCGCAGACAACCAGGAUGUUGGCUCAGAAGCAGCCACUCAUUCAAAGAGUGCGUAAUAGCUCACUGGUCGAGUGAUUUUGCGCCGAAAAUUUAACGGGGCUAAACUGUACACCGAAGCUUGGGAAUAUACAUUUGUAUGUUGGUAGGAGAGCGUUGUGUAAGGGGUGAAGUCGUAGCGAAAGCGGCGGUGGACUUUACACAAGUGAGAAUGCCGGAAUGAGUAGCGAGAAUUAUGUGAGAAUCAUAAUGGCCGAAAGACUAAGGUUUUAGAAGGAAGGUUCGUCCGCUUCUAGUUAGCCGGGAGCUAAGGCGAGGCCGAGAGGCGUAGUCGAUGCACAUACGGUUGAGAUUCCGUAGCUACCUUGCAUUUAAGCGAAGGGACACAUUUGAAGGGCAUGACCCGGGCGUUGGUUGACCCGGGCGUAAGGGACCGAAAAUAAGUAGGGAAGCAUGCUUGGAUGGUGGCGAGAAAAGCUUCGUGUAUAUAAGCAGGGUACCCGUACUGCAAACCGACACAGGUAGUCAGGAAGAGGAUUCUAAGGCCAUCGGGAGAAGCGUUGUUAAGGAACUCGGCAAAUUGACCCCGUAACUUCGGAAUAAGGGGUGCUCACGCGAGUGAGCCGCAGUGAAUAGGUCCAGGCAACUGUUUAUCAAAAACACAGCUCUCUGCUAAAUCGUAAGAUGACGUAUAGGGGGUGACACCUGCCCGGUGCUGGAAGGUUAAGAGGAGGGGUGCAAGCUCCGAAUUGAAGCCCCAGUAAACGGCGGCCGUAACUAUAACGGUCCUAAGGUAGCGAAAUUCCUUGUCGGGUAAGUUCCGACCCGCACGAAUGGUGUAAUGAUCUGGACACUGUCUCAACAACGCACCCGGCGAAAUUGUAGUACCGGUGAAGAUGCCGGUUACCCGCGGCAAGACGGAAAGACCCCAUGGAGCUUCACUGUAGCCUGAUAUUGGGUCUCGGUAUUUUAUGUACAGGAUAGGCGGGAGACUUGGAAACCAGCACGCCAGUGUUGGCGGAGUCACCCUUGGGAUACCGCUCUUAAAGUAUUGAGAUUCUAACCUGCAGCCAUGAAUCUGGCUGGGGGACAUUGUCAGGUGGGCAGUUUGACUGGGGCGGUCGCCUCCAAAAGAGUAACGGAGGCGUUCAAAGGUUCACUCAGCAUGGACGGAAACCAUGCCUUAGAGUGCAAACGCAUAAGUGAGCCUAACUGCGAGACUGACGGGUCGAGCAGUAACGAAAG
rnacentral:rRNA from 1 species